GCUUUUAAAAAAUGUUUUUAAGAGGAAUGGCUGCUGAAGUGAAUGGCAGCUCUGCUCCUGCAAAAGAAGAAGAGGAGCCUAUGGACGUUUCGACGACGCACACAGAGAACUACCAGACUCUCAUUGAUGCUGGACUUCCCCAGAAAGUAGCUGAGAGUUUGGACAACAUCUUCCAGACUGGUUUGGUGGCCUAUGCUGAUCUUGAUGAGAGGGCGAUCGAUGCUCUGCGUGAGUUUAACGAAGAGGGAGCUCUGUCUGUACUGCAGCAGUUUAAAGAGAGUGACUUGUCUCAUGUUCAGAAUAAGAGCGCUUUCCUGUGUGGUGUCAUGAAGACCUACAGACAGAGGGAAAAGCAAGGCAGCAAAAUACAGGAAUCCACAAAAGGCCCUGACGAGUCCAAGAUAAAGACUUUGCUGGAGAGGACCGGAUAUACCCUGGAUGUCACUACAGGCCAGAGGAAAUAUGGCGGCCCGCCCCCAGAGGCAGUUUUCUCCGGCACGCAGCCUGGUAUUGGCACCGAGGUGUUUGUGGGGAAAAUUCCUCGGGACUUGUAUGAAGACGAGCUGGUUCCGCUGUUUGAGAAGGCAGGGCCCAUAUGGGACCUGAGGUUAAUGAUGGACCCUCUGUCCGGACAGAACCGCGGCUAUGCGUUCAUCACCUUCUGCAGCAAAGACGCAGCACAGGAGGCUGUCAAACUGUGUGAUAAUUAUGAGAUCAGGCCAGGGAAGUAUUUGGGUGUCUGCAUAUCGGUCGCCAACAACCGACUGUUUGUGGGCUCCAUUCCAAAGAACAAGACCAGGGAGAGUAUUUUGGAGGACUUUGGCAAAGUGACAGAGGGUCUACAGGAAGUGAUUCUGUACACGCAAGCCGACGACAAGAAGAAGAACCGAGGUUUCUGCUUUCUAGAGUAUGAGGACCACAAGUCAGCAGCGCAGGCCCGCCGCCGCCUCAUGAGCGGUAAAAUUAAGGUGUGGGGCAAUCCCGUGACUGUGGAGUGGGCCGAUCCGGUCGCUGAGCCUGACCCUGAGGUCAUGGCCAAGGUGAAGGUGCUGUUUGUCCGUAAGCUAGCCACUUCUGUCACAGAGGAGCUGUUAGAGAAGACCUUCUCACAGUUUGGGAAACUGGAACGUGUUAAGAAACUGAAAGACUAUGCUUUCGUUCACUUUGAGGAGAGGGACGCUGCUGUUAAGGCCAUGGAAGAGAUGAAUGGGAAGGAGCUUGGGGGAGAGGAGAUUGAGAUUGUCCUGGCUAAGCCUCCAGAUAAGAAGAGGAAAGAGCGGCAAGCUGCCCGACAGACCAGCAGAAACACAGGGUAUGAUGAUUAUUACUACUACCCCCCACCUCGCAUGCCACCCCCGGGCCGCGUCCGUGGACGAGGUGGUCGCGGUGGCUAUUCUUACCCACCCGAUUACUACGGCUAUGAAGAAUACUACGAUGACUACUACGGUUACGAUUACCAUGACUACCGUGGUGGUUAUGAUGAUCCGUACUAUGGGUAUGAAGAAGUGUACCCGAUAAGGGGACGUGGCAACCGAGGGAGCCGUGGCGCUCCGCCUCCUCCCAGAGCACGCGGGGUUCCCCCGGCUCGUGGCAGAGGCGGCUAUGUGCCGAGGGGAGGCGCCCCCAUGGGGGCAGGACGAGGAGGACGUGGAGGAGGACGAGGCGGCCCUUUCCAAUCACCCAGGGGUGGACGUGGCACCAGGGGUGCCCGUGGGAAUCGUGGUGGCAACGUGGGUGGAAAGAGAAAGGCAGACGUGUUUAACCAACCGGAUUCAAAACGACGCCAGACGACCAAUCAGCAGAACUGGGGGUCGCAGCCAAUCGCUCAGCAGCCGUUACAGCAAGGGGGCGACUACUCCAGUAACUACUACAGCAACGACACCCUGGAGUUCUCCCAAGAUUCCUACGGGCAGCAGUGGAAGUAGACGACACACACAUCAUCCCCCAUAAAAAGGUAUCCGAGCGAGAGAGAGAGCCGUUGCUAGCUUGAGGAACACACCAGAACUGUGUUCUUCUCCAGCAGGGGAGCAAAGCAUUUCCUUGUGGGUCCCAACAUCAUACCUCAGAAGCCCCUGGAUUUUCAGAGACCUCAGGGUGCUCCAAACUUCUCUCCUUGUGUCUCGCAUGUGUGCGCACCUGAUUUUUCCGCUCAUCGGGUUCACCCUGCAGCGCAGAUACAAAGUCCAGAGUGUGGGUGCAAAGUAUCCGCCUUGUUUCGGGUCAAUAUAACACUUUAAAGAAACCAUGACGUUAAUAUAUUUGCACAACACAUCUCCGAUGCAGUCAAAAAAAAAAAAAAAAAAUUUCGAUAAUUUUUGUCACUUUAUCAAUGUACACACUAUGGCCAAAAAUAUGUGGAGACCUGACCAUCACACCUAUAUGUGGUUCUUCCCCAAACUAUUGCCACAAAGUCUGAAGCACACAAUUGUAUAGAAUGUCUCUGUAUGCUGUAGCUUUACAAUUUCCCUUAACUGGAACUCAAACCUGUUCCAGCAUGACGACGCCCCUGUACACAAAACGAGCUCCAUGAAGACACUGUGUGUUAAGGUUGAAGUGGAAGAACUUCUGCACAGAGCCCUGACCUCAACCCUCCUGAACAUCUUUGGGAUGAACUGCACCCCAGGUCUCCUCAGAUAUAAAUCUGGAAUGUGGUGUCUAAAAACGAUUCAGCAAAAUGUGACGUUAGGAAUUACUUUUGCUUUGAUGAGGACAUACAAAACAAUAAACCCUUGAUUGUUUUCAGGAUCAUUUUUAAAGCACAAUCUACCGUCAAACAAUCUUGCCAUGUUCAUAACAUCACUGUAAAUUACCUUAAUAACAGUUAACAUGUAAAAUUACAUGUUAAUAAUAGGGGGAAGUGACACCUUCUGCCUUUGAGUACUUUUCGUUCACUCUUACCUCCAGUAGGCUGCUUCAUCUGCUUUCACCUCCAUAUUUCUAUCAUAGUGUUUUCAAAGUCUCUAUCCCUGAACUGUUAACAACAUCAGUCUGACAGUCAUACCCAAGUUCCUGUUAGCACUUUUUUAAUAAUUAGCUUUAUUUGGCUUAGGCAUAUAUGGCCAAUAAAUUAAUUAAUUAGUAAAUCUGUAGGCUAGUGUUGAGCUCCAGGGACACUAUCCCACUGUCCUCUUGGAACAUAUGCAGGGCAGUCGUAGCUCAGUGGUUAAGACUGGACGUUUCAGUUUGGAAGGACGCGAGUUCAAAUCCCAGCACACCAAGCUGCCGCUGCUGGGCUGUCGAGCAAGGCCAUUAACCCUCAACUUCUCAGUUGUCUAAAGGUAAGUUGCUCUGGAUUAGGGUGUCUGAUAAAUGUCAUAAAUAUGUAAAUCUUCCAUAUGACAAAAUAAAUGCAAUGUUGUCAGGGUGAAGUUAUUCAGUUUAAACAUAAAAGUAACUUUUUUUCCA